rnacentral:rRNA from 1 species
GCCCAGGUGGGAUUAGCUAGUUGGUGAGGUAAAGGCUCACCAAGGCAACGAUCCCUAGCUGGUCUGAGAGGAUGAUCAGCCACACUGGAACUGAGACACGGUCCAGACUCCUACGGGAGGCAGCAGUGGGGAAUAUUGCACAAUGGGGGAAACCCUGAUGCAGCCAUGCCGCGUGUAUGAAGAAGGCCUUCGGGUUGUAAAGUACUUUCAGUCGUGAGGAAGGGUGUGUAGUUAAUAGCUGCAUGCCUUGACGUUAGCGACAGAAGAAGCACCGGCUAACUCCGUGCCAGCAGCCGCGGUAAUACGGAGGGUGCGAGCGUUAAUCGGAAUUACUGGGCGUAAAGCGCAUGCAGGCGGUCUGUUAAGCAAGAUGUGAAAGCCCGGGGCUCAACCUCGGAACCGCAUUUUGAACUGGCAGACUAGAGUCUUGUAGAGGGGGGUAGAA